rnacentral:rRNA from 1 species
GAUUAACGCUGGCGGCGUGCAUAACACAUGCAAGUCGAACGAUGAAACUCAUUAGAUUUCUUCGGAAUGAAAAUGAAUGGAUUAGUGGCGAGCGGGUGAGUAACGCGUGAGUAACCUGCCUUACACAAGGGGAUAGCCUCUGGAAACGGAGAAUAAUACCCUAUGAAACCAGACAAUCGCAUGAUAAUCUGGUCAAAAUGUUUAGUGGUGUAAGAUGGACUUGCGUCUGAUUAGCUAGUUGGUGAGAUAAAAGCUCACCAAGGCAACGAUCAGUAGCCGGCUUGAGAGAGUGUACGGCCACAUUGGGACUGAGACACGGCCCAGACUCCUACGGGAGGCAGCAGUGGGGAAUUUUGCACAAUGGGGGAAACCCUGAUGCAGCGACGCCGCGUGAUUUAGAAGGCCUUCGGGUUGUAAAAAUCUUUUGUAUAGGAAGAAAAUGACAGUACUAUACGAAUAAGGUCCGGCUAAUUACGUG